GUGCUCAUUUCAACAGCACAUAUAUUAAAAUUGGAACGAUACAGAGAGGAUUAUCAUGGCCCCUGCACAAGGAUGACAUGCAAAUUUGUGAAGCGGUCCAUAUUUGC